ensembl:lncRNA
UGCCAACCGCCGUUAAACUGGAAAGAAGUUACAAUGAGUUACAAUGGUUAUGAAAAUGUCUGCAGACUGGUGUGUGCACUGAGGAUGGAGAAGUCCACUGCAGCAUCUGAAAAUGGUCCAGAGACACGGAUGAGACGCUCCAUCACUCCAGCUCUUACUGUCUCAUCAGGACCAGAUGCUGCUGUGGUCUCUUCAUCCUCAGUGACCCCAGCAGCCAGAGCAUCUAGAGAAAGACCAAAAGACACUGAGGAUUUGAUUUUG